rnacentral:rRNA from 1 species
AGUGAACGCUGGCGGUAGACCUAACACAUGCAAGUCGAACGGCAGCACAGUAAGAGCUUGCUCUUACGGGUGGCGAGUGGCGGACGGGUGAGGCAUACAUCGGAAUCUACUUUUUCGUGGAGGAUAACGUAGGGAAACUUACGCUAAUACCGCAUACGACCUACGGGUGAAAGCAGUGGAUCUUCGGACCUUGCGCGAUUGAAUGAGCCGAUGUCGGAUUAGCUAGUUGGCGGGGUAAAGGCCCACCAAGGCGACGAUCCGUAGCUGGUCUGAGAGGAUGAUCAGCCACACUGGAACUGAGACACGGUCCAGACUCCUACGGGAGGCAGCAGUGGGGAAUAUUGGACAAUGGGCGCAAGCCUGAUCCAGCCAUACCGCGUGGGUGAAGAAGGCCUUCGGGUUGUAAAGCCCUUUUGUUGGGAAAGAAAAGCAGCAGGUUAAUACCCCGCUGUUCUGACGGUACCCAAAGAAUAAGCACCGGCUAACUUCGUG